rnacentral:rRNA from 1 species
AGAGUUUGAUCCUGGCUCAGGAUGAACGCUAGCGACAGGCCUAACACAUGCAAGUCGAGGGGCAUCGGGACGUAGCAAUACGUUGCCGGCGACCGGCGGAUGGGUGAGUAACGCGUAUGCAACCUACCCGUAGCAGGGGGAUAGCCCGUUGAAAGACGGAUUAAUACCCCGUAACACAGGGGCUCCGCAUGGAGAUUAUUGUUAAAGGGUCAUUUCUUUUUCAGGGAUGGUCCGGCUGCGGAUGGGCAUGCGUUCCAUUAGGUAGUUGGUGUAGGUAACUGCUCACCAAGCCGACGAUGGAUAGGGGAACUGAGAGGUUGGUCCCCCACACUGGUACUGAGACACGGACCAGACUCCUACGGGAGGCAGCAGUGAGGAAUUUUGGUCAAUGGACGCAAGUCUGAACCAGCCAUGUCGCGUGAAGGAGGACGGCCCUAAGGGUUGUAAACUUCUUUUGCAGUGGAAUAAAGUUUGCCACGUGUUGGCGAUUUGCAAGUACGCUGCGAAUAAGGAUCGGCUAACUCCGUGCCAGCAGCCGCGGUAAUACGGAGGAUCCGGGCGUUAUCCGGAUUUAUUGGGUUUAAAGGGUGCGCAGGCGGGGAAUUAGGUCGGCGGUGAAAUUUCGGGGCUCAACCUCGACAGUGCCGUUGAAACCGUUUCUCUUGAGUGCGGAUGAGGUAGGCGGAAUUUGUGGUGUAGCGGUGAAAUGCGUAGAUAUCACAAGGAACACCGAUUGCGGAGGCAGCUUACUAAACCGUUACUGACGCUCAUGCACGAAGGCGUGGGGAUCAAACAGGAUUAGAUACCCUGGUAGUCCACGCAGUAAACGAUGAUUACUUGCUGUUUGCGAUACACAGUAAGCGGCGUAGCGAAAGCGUUAAGUAAUCCACCUGGGGAGUACGUUCGCAAGAAUGAAACUCAAAUGAAUUGACGG